rnacentral:lncRNA from 1 species
GAGAAUUAUCUUUAAUUGGUUCCAUGCUCUAAAUGGUUUUGUAUUAAGGAUUUUAUCAGUUGUUACUAUACUUCUAGGAUUGAAGAGUAUUGAUGCAUCUCCUAAUGAAUGGAUAGGAAAAGUGAUGGGAGGACUAAUUGGCUGGGAAAUAUUAAGAGAUGUGCUGUUCUAUGCAAAUAUUUAUUUUUGGAGGAAAGAUGGUGAAGAAAACCCAAAAGGAAAGAUAAAAAAUGAAAAAAUACUGGUAAUAGUUUCCCUGUGUGGAAACCUCAUAUUUGUGAUAACCCUGCUUGUUGGAAUUGGACGAUCCUAGAGAAAGGACCUUCACCCAUUUUUUAUUAAAUGAAGAUUCUGAGAAUCAUUGUCAUGUUGACGACAUUUCCUACCUAAUAAAAACUAGGAAAAUAAACA